rnacentral:sRNA from 1 species
UAGCUGUAUGUGAGAUUGAUGAACAGUGU